rnacentral:rRNA from 1 species
GUGCAGCAGUCGCGAAAACUCCGCAAUACACGAAAGUGUGACGGGGCUAUCCCGAGUGCCGUCCGCUGAGGAUGGCUUUUCCCCAGUGUAGAUAGCUGGGGGAAUAAGGAGAGGGCAAGUCUGGUGUCAGCCGCCGCGGUAAUACCAGCUCUUCGAGUGGUGGGGAUGUUUAUUGGGCCUGAAGCAUCCGUAGCCGGCUGAGCAAGUUCUCUGUUAAAUCCAGCGAUUUAAUCGUUGGAUUGCGGGGAAUACUGCUCGGCUUGGGGGCGGGAGAGGCCGUCGGUAUUCUUGGGGUAGGGGUAAAAUCUUAUAAUCCCAAGAGGACCACCAGUGGCGAAGGCUGUCGGCUAGAACGCGCCCGACGGUGAGGGAUGAAAGCUGGGGGAGCGAACCGGAUUAGAUACCCGGGUAGUCC